rnacentral:rRNA from 1 species
CGGCCAGACUCCUACGGGCGGCCGCAGUGGUGCCUCUUGCACACUGGUGGCAACCCUGCUGCCGCGACGCCGCGUGCGUGAAGAAGUCUUUCGGUAUGUACCGCUCUAUCAGCAGGGCCGCUAAUGACGGUCCCUGACUAAGACGCCCCGGCUAACUCCGUGCCAGCAGCCGCGGUCAUACGUAGGGGGCCAGCGUUAUCCGGCUUUACGGGGGGUAAAGGGUGCGCAGGUGGCAGGGCAAGUCUGCUGUGAAAGUCCGGGCUCAACCCCGGGACUGCAGUGGAAACUGGCCGGCGAGAGGGCAGGAGAGGUAAGGGGAAUUCCUAGGGGAGCGGUGAAAUGCGGAGAUAUUAGGGGGAACACCAGUGGCGAAGGCGGCUUACGGGACGGUAACUGACGGGGAGGCGCGAAAGCGGGGGGAGCAAACAGGAGGAGAGACCCCAGGAA